CAAAUCUUGACAUCCUCUGACCCCUCUAGAGAUAGAGUUUUCCCCUUCGGGGGACAGAGUGACAGGUGGUGCAUGGUUGUCGUCAGCUCGUGUCGUGAGAUGUUGGGUUAAGUCCCGCAACGAGCGCAACCCUUAAGCUUAGUUGCCAUCAUUAAGUUGGGCACUCUAAGUUGACCGCCGGUGACAAACCGGAGGAAGGUGGGGAUGACGUCAAAUCAUCAUGCCCCUUAUGAUUUGGGCUACACACGUGCUACAAUGAACAAUACAAAGGGCAGCGAAACCGCGAGGUCAAGCAAAUCCCAUAAAGUUGUUCUCAGUUCGGAUUGUAGUCUGCAACUCGACUAUAUGAAGCUGGAAUCGCUAGUAAUCGUAGAUCAGCAUGCUACGGUGAAUA
rnacentral:rRNA from 1 species